GCCCAGACUCCUACGGGAGGCAGCAGUGGGGAAUAUUGCACAAUGGGGGAAACCCUGAUGCAGCGACGCCGCGUGAGUGAAGAAGUAUUUCGGUAUGUAAAGCUCUAUCAGCAGGGAAGAAAAUGACGGUACCUGACUAAGAAGCCCCGGCUAACUACGUGCCAGCAGCCGCGGUAAUACGUAGGGGGCAAGCGUUAUCCGGAUUUACUGGGUGUAAAGGGAGCGUAGACGGCACUGCAAGUCCGGAGUGAAAGCUCAAGGCUUAACCAUGGGACUGCUCUGGAAACUGUGGAGCUUGAGUGCGGGAGGGGCAGGCGGAAUUCCUAGUGUAGCGGUGAAAUGCGUAGAUAUUAGGAGGAACACCGGCGGCGAAGGCGGCCUGCUGGACCGUAACUGACGUUGAGGCUCGAAAGCGUGGGGAGCAAACAGGAUUAGAUACCCUAGUA
rnacentral:rRNA from 1 species